rnacentral:rRNA from 1 species
UUACAAUGGAGAGUUUGAUCCUGGCUCAGGAUGAACGCUAGCG